rnacentral:rRNA from 1 species
AUGAGUAGGGCGGGACACGUGGUAUCCUGUCUGAAUAUGGGGGGACCAUCCUCCAAGGCUAAAUACUCCUGACUGACCGAUAGUGAACCAGUACCGUGAGGGAAAGGCGAAAAGAACCCCGGCGAGGGGAGUGAAAAAGAACCUGAAACCGUGUACGUACAAGCAGUGGGAGCCCCACCACUAAGCCAGUGGUGAACUCCACAUCCGCAUCCUUUGCUGAGGAUACGGUUAACGGAGCGAAAGCGACGUUCAACCGCAAAACAAGCAGAGGGGGCUUAGUGGUGGGGUGACUGCGUACCUUUUGUAUAAUGGGUCAGCGACUUAUAUUCUGUAGCAAGGUUAACCGAAUAGGGGAGCCGGAGGGAAACCGAGUCUUAAUUGGGCGUUAAGUUGCAGGGUAUAGACCCGAAACCCGGUGAUCUAGCCAUGGGCAGGUUGAAGGUUGGGUAACACUAACUGGAGGACCGAACCGACUAAUGUUGAAAAAUUAGCGGAUGACCUGUGGCUGGGGGUGAAAGGCCAAUCAAACCGGGAGAUAGCUGGUUCUCCCCGAAAGCUAUUUAGGUAGCGCCUCGUGAAUUCAUCUCCGGGGGUAGAGCACUGUUUCGGCUAGGGGGCCAUCCCGGCUUACCAACCCGAUGCAAACUGCGAAUACCGGAGAAUGUUAUCACGGGAGACACACGGCGGGUGCUAACGUCCGUCGUGAAGAGGGAAACAACCCAGACCGCCAGCUAAGGUCCCAAAGUCAUGGUUAAGUGGGAAACGAUGUGGGAAGGCCCAGACAGCCAGGAUGUUGGCUUAGAAGCAGCCAUCAUUUAAAGAAAGCGUAAUAGCUCACUGGUCGAGUCGGCCUGCGCGGAAGAUGUAACGGGGCUAAACCAUGCACCGAAGCUGCGGCAGCGAACGUAUCACCCAAGACAACUUUACGGAGUUGACGAUUGACGGAGCGAAGCGACGUCAAAGCGUUCAUUAAAGUCGAGUUGGCUUAGGGAUACGUUCGUUGGGUAGGGGAGCGUUCUGUAAGCCUGUGAAGGUGUGUCGUGAGGCAUGCUGGAGGUAUCAGAAGUGCGAAUGCUGACAUAAGUAACGAUAAAGCGGGUGAAAAGCCCGCUCGCCGGAAGACCAAGGGUUCCUGUCCAACGUUAAUCGGGGCAGGGUGAGUCGACCCCUAAGGCGAGGCCGAAAGGCGUAGUCGAUGGGAAACGGGUUAAUAUUCCCGUACUUGGUGUUACUGCGAAGGGGGGACGGAGAAGGCUAUGUUGGCCGGGCGACGGUUGUCCCGGUUUAAGCGUGUAGGUGUGUGUUCCAGGUAAAUCCGGUUCACUUUAACACUGAGGCGUGACGACGAGGCACUACGGUGCUGAAGCAACAAAUGCCCUGCUUCCAGGAAAAGCCUCUAAGCAUCAGGUAACAC